rnacentral:rRNA from 1 species
UACAGAGGGGGCAAGCGUUGUUCGGAAUUACUGGGCGUAAAGGGCGCGUAGGCGGCCUUCUAAGUCGAACGUGAAAUCCCUCGGCUUAACCGGGGAACUGCGUCUGAUACUGGAUGGCUUGAGUUUGGGAGAGGGAUGCGGAAUUCCAGGUGUAGCGGUGAAAUGCGUAGAUAUCUGGAGGAACAUCGGUGGCGAAGGCGACAUCCUGGACCGGUAUUGACGCUGAGGCGCGAAAGCCAGGGGAGCAAACGGG